rnacentral:lncRNA from 1 species
CCAAAACUGCAGUUUUUGCUGCUGAAAUCUUCUUAUUUCAGAUAUUUCAGAAACUAAUAAAAACAACUAUAUUGAUUUUGCUAUAAUCCUCAAAUAUACAUAGGUUCAAUGCAAAAUACAGUUAGCAUUGGACACCUGUUAUUCCUUUAUUCUUAAAUAAACUUAUUAGGAGUCUGUGCUAUGAUGAUGGUAUAUUUUGUGCACUUCUUGGAAUAAAUAAUGUACAUAAAUCAUUAAAAUGCAUAUUCAGUGGGAAGCCAUCUGGCUUCAUGUGAAUUUAUGAAUAUUUUAGCUUGUUCAGCUAGUCAAAAGUAAAAUCUGGCACUAGGGAUUAUCAUGUAGAUUUGUGAGAGUAUUAUAAAAAUUUUGCUUCCAUAAAUCAAUGAUUGACACAUCUACUACAUUUUCUUUCUUUCAUUACAGAUUGAGUCCACUUAAAAUAUGUACAAUAUUGCAUGAUUAGUUUGAAAGUCAUCAUAAUUCAUCUUGAAUUAGAACAUGCAUAUUUCAUUAAAAUAGUUUUAUGUAAAAAGGGAAUCUUGGCAUUGAUUUGGACUUUAUAAGUUAUUGUGGUGGACACUGUGAUGUGGCACCCAGAUCCUUUUUCAAUGACAGACCGGAUGCUUGAGCUACUGGGAAUGCUGUUAGUAGAGGGCCUUCAGGUGUUAGCCCCAUUCACAGAAAUGAAAAAUAUUAGAAGUGCCUCACACUUGCCUCAGUCAC